rnacentral:rRNA from 1 species
GACGGAGGAUGCAAGCGUUAUCCGGAAUGAUUGGGCGUAAAGCGUCCGCAGGUGGCAGUUCAAGUCUGCUGUCAAAGACCGGGGCUUAACUUCGGAAAGGCAGUGGAAACUGAACAGCUAGAGUAUGGUAGGGGCAGAAGGAAUUCCUGGUGUAGCGGUGAAAUGCGUAGAGAUCAGGAAGAACAUCGGUGGCGAAGGCGCUCUGCUGGACCAUAACUGACACUCAGGGACGAAAGCUAGGGGAGCGAAUGGG